GAGGAUGCAGCUCAGUGGAAGAGCAUCUGCUGCGCAUGCAGAAGGCCCCAGGUUCAAUUCCUCGCAUCCUGA